CGAGACCUUCGGGUCUAGUGGCGCACGGGUGCGUAACGCGUGGGAAUCUGCCCUUAGGUACGGAAUAACUCAGAGAAAUUUGUGCUAAUACCGUAUGAUGUCGAAAGACCAAAGAUUUAUCGCCUAAGGAUGAGCCCGCGUAAGAUUAGCUUGUUGGUGAGGUAAAAGCUCACCAAGGCGACGAUCUUUAGCUGGUCUGAGAGGAUGAUCAGCCACACUGGGACUGAGACACGGCCCAGACUCCUACGGGAGGCAGCAGUGGGGAAUAUUGGACAAUGGGCGAAAGCCUGAUCCAGCAAUGCCGCGUGAGUGAUGAAGGCCUUAGGGUUGUAAAGCUCUUUUACCAGGGAUGAUAAUGACAGUACCUGGAGAAUAAGCUCCGGCUAACUCCGUGCCAGCAGCCGCGGUAGUACGGAGGGAGCUAGCGUUGUUCGGAAUUACUGGGCGUAAAGAGUACGUAGGCGGUGAUUCAAGUCAGAGGUGAAAGCCUGGAGCUCAACUC
rnacentral:rRNA from 1 species